rnacentral:rRNA from 1 species
GACGAACGCUGGCGGCGUGCUUAACACAUGCAAGUCGACCGGUAAGGCCCUUCGGGGUACACGAGUGGCGAACGGGUGAGUAACACGUGGGUGAUCUGCCCUGCACUUUGGGAUCAGCCUGGGAAACUGGGUCUAAUACCGGAUAGGACCAUGCGCUUCACGGUGUGUGGUGGAAAGCUUUUGCGGUGUGGGAUGGGACCGCGGCCGAUCAGCUUGUUGGUGGGGUACUGGCAUACCAAGGCGACGACGGGUAGCCGGUCUGAGAGGGUGACCGGCCAUACUCGGACUAGGUUACGGCACAGGCUCCUCGGGAGGGCAGCAGUGGGGAAUAUUGCACAAUGGUGUCAAGCCUAGUGCAGGGACGUCGCGGGAGGGAUUACGGCCUUCGGGUUGUAAGCCUCGUUCAGUAGGGCCGAAGCGCAAGUGACGGUACCUACAGAAGAAGGACCGGCCAAGUACGUGCCAGCAGCCGCAGUAA